GCAGCUGUGGCCGGGGGUUAAGGCGAUGGGCUUGAAAUCCAUUGGGUCUCCCGCGUAGGUUCGAAUCCUCCGGCUGCG